AUAUAUUGUAAUUAACUCAUUGCAUUAUGUAUAGACACAAAUAUAAUAUUUUUCAUCGCACUAUUUUUGUUGUGUAUAAUGCAAUUAAUUUUUUCGCAAUCCCAACCGAGUCAUAGUGAUAGUUUGACAUUUCGAUCUCACUAAAUGUAGCAAUUAAAUAUUGAUUUAAUCUCGCAUGCAGCACGGAGUAAACCUCACAAACGGAUACCGACCGUCCCUAGAGCAAGUGGCAAAGGGCUUAAUGGUUGGUACCCGAGACCCAAGUUCGAAUCCUAGUUGAUUCAUAUUUCCAGCUAAGUUUAUUUUUAAACGAAGUCAGUAGCGUGCUACCUAUCUCUCAAAAAAAAAAAAAAAAAAAAAAAAAACCUCACAAACGGAUAGUGUAAGCUUGGGGGUGAGGUACGAGAUGGAUAUUUAAUCCGCUAGAGUUCAAAGUGGCGGUCGAACUCAUUCACGAAAUGGUAUAAAUUUAAGAUUAGCUCUAUUGCCGUGAUAUAUAUCCAAGUAAUCGUUACGCUAGGAAACAAAGUAAAAAUGUACUUGACACUGAUUAGCAUCCUAUAGACUCUUUUGUCUCCUUGUAGCAUCAAUUAUCGUAGUAGUGCCAUUAAGAUCACUAAAUUAAUAUUGGUUGAUACAAUAAUAUAAGUUGGAUGAGAUAAUACAAAGAUAAUAUAAGCUGGCUCCUUGUCCUUGUCACAUGAGUUGUUUUUUUGUCACCCCACUAUAAAGAUAGAGCACAAAUAAUAGUACCUUCGCUGUGUGUCUAGCUCAUAUUUCUUGUUUCUUGUAAUUAAAAGACGCCAAUUUCCAAAUGUCAUCUUUUGACCCAUGAUGAGAAUUAUCACCAUCCACACAAUUUAAUAUCUUGGAACUGAAUGAAACAAUUAAUUACACUAUUAAUUAAUUAACAAGUAUUUUUUUUAUAAAUGAGUAUUUGGAAUUACAAAAUAGUACGUAGCUACAAAAGAUACGCCAAGGAGAAUCAAAGGAGGGAGGAGAAUCAAAAGAGGCCAGUCAAGUGUAAACAAAUAUUUUUAGUUCUUGAAUUAUAGGUCACAGAUAAUCAGUCCUUAUAUUAUUCGAAAAGUGGUAAGCGAAAAUUUGUGAGUUUUAAGCCUAUUAUUUAGAUGUAUUAAUUCUUACCGAUCAUUCAGAUCACGACCAACUUGUAUUGUCACAUUCUUUUAGUACACAUAAAGCGAGCGAUACACCUGUAAUUGUAAAAUUGUAAAGCGCGAGGAGCCUGUGUAAAUUGAUAUUGAAUCAUCUUUC
rnacentral:lncRNA from 1 species